UUGACAUCCAGAGAACUUAGCAGAGAUGCUUUGGUGCCUUCGGGAACUCUGAGACAGGUGCUGCAUGGCUGUCGUCAGCUCGUGUUGUGAAAUGUUGGGUUAAGUCCGCAACGAGCGCAACCCCUAUCCUUUGUUGCCAACGAUUCGGUCGGGAACUCAAAGGAGACUGCCGGUGAUAAACCGGAGGAAGGUGGGGAUGACGUCAAGUCAUCAUGGCCCUUACGAGUAGGGCUACACACGUGCUACAAUGGCGCAUACAAAGAGAAGCGACCUCGCGAGAGCAAGCGGACCUCAUAAAGUGCGUCGUAGUCCGGAUUGGAGUCUGCAACUCGACUCCAUGAAGUCGGAAUCGCUAGUAAUCGUAGAUCAGAAUGCUACGGUGAAUACGUUCCCGGGCCUUGUACACACCGCCCGUCACACCAUGGGAGUGGGUUGCAAAAGAAGUAGAUAGCUUAACCUUCGGGAGGGCGUUUACCACUUUGUGAUUCAUGACUGGGGUGAAGUCGUAACAAGGUAGGCGUACGUGU
rnacentral:rRNA from 1 species